UAGUGAGAGAGAGAGACAGAGAGAAAGAUCUUCCUUUUUGCCGUUGGUUCACCCUCCAAUGGUCGCUGCGGCCGGUGCAUCAUGCUGAUCCGAAGCCAGGAGCCAGCCUCCCGGAUGCAUACACAGGAAGCUGGGUCAGAAGCAGAGCAGCCGGGACUCAAACCUGCACGUCUGAUACAGGAUGCGGGCGUCCCACGUGCUGGCUUCCCUACACCAGCCUCUGAAUUCCCGUGUUCAUGUGCGGAAACUGAAGCCCAGGCCACAGCUGCCUGUGUCCUGAUUCUGACGAAGCCAAGACCUCUCCGCGAUCAAGAGUUGUGGGGAUCUCUGCCACGGCGCGGGGCUCAGCGUCGCUGCUCGGGAGGCUCCCAUCCCACAGUGGGGCACCUGGUUCGAGUCUUGGCUACUCCACCUCCCACCCAGCUUCCCACUGGAGCACACACACCCUGGGAGGCUGCAGGCGAUGGCUCAAGUGCCUGGGCCCUGGCACCCAUGUGGGAGACCAGGAUGGAGUUCCCAGCUUCACCUGGCCCAGGCAUUUGGGGAGUGAA